GAGGCGCGUCAAUUGCUGGUUGAAAACUAUUUCCAACCCCCCUCGUUGGCCUGGGCUACGCUUUGGCCUUCGAGAAUUUUUGGAGGGUCCGCCUUUGGCUCGGGCCCGGAC
rnacentral:snRNA from 1 species